rnacentral:rRNA from 1 species
AUCGACCGCUGGCGGCAUGCUUUACACAUGCAAGUCGAACGGUAACAGGGUGCUUGCACCUCUCACGAGUGGUGAACGGGUGAGUACUGCGUCGGAACGUGCCGGGUGGUGGGGGAUACCGCAGCGCAAGUUGUGCUAAUACCGCAUACGUACUGAGGUAGAACGUGGGUGACCUUCGGGCCUUACGUCCUUCGAGCGGCUGACGUCGUAUUAGCUAGUAGGUGGGGUUAUGGGUCAUCUAGGCGACGAUCAGUAGCGGGUCUGAGAGGAUGAUCCGCCACACUGGGACUGAGACACGGCCCAGACUCCUACGGGAGGCAGCAGUGGGGAAGUUUUGACAAUGGUCGAAAGCCUGAUCCAGCCAUGCCGCGUGUCUGAAGAAGGCCUUCGGGUUGUAAAGGACUUUUGUCAGUGAGAAGAUCCCUAGUGCUAAUAACACUGGGGAAUGACAGUACCUGAAGAAUAAGCACCGGCUAACUACGUGCCAGCAGCCGCGGUAA